rnacentral:rRNA from 1 species
UACGUAAGGGUCCGAGCGUUGUCCGGAAUUACUGGGCGUAAAGAGCUCGUAGGUGGUUUGUCGCGUUGUUCGUGAAAACUCACAGCUUAACUGUGGGCGUGCGGGCGAUACGGGCAGACUUGAGUACUGCAGGGGAGACUGGAAUUCCUGGUGUAGCGGUGGAAUGCGCAGAUAUCAGGAAGAACACCCGUGGCUAAGGCGGUUCUCUAGUACGGUACUGACGCUGAGACGCGAAAGCGUGGGGAGCGAACAGG